CCCUGCAGAUGAGAUGGGGAAAUAGUUCUGAUGACACCGCGAUGCCAGCCAGCUGUGCAACCCCACGGCAUCCCAUGCUGCCCUCUUUUUCUGAGCAACAUCCAGGCGAACACACCAGUUCUACAGGCUGCUUUAAGCAGGGCGGUAAGAGAACGUGGGCCUGCCAGCCGGUCAAAUGGUGAAACUUUAAACAACCGCUUCCAAAACUGUUUCAGAGGAACAACCAAGACGACUGCGCACUGUAACAGGGAGGAGAGCGAAACGCCGAGAGGGACCGGGCACCAGGAACGCGCAGAGCCCGGGGAAGGAGACCGGGAAGGGCUGCGCUGCCCCGCACCCGCGCUGCCGGCCGUGCCGUACGGGGCCGCGCAGCCCAGCGGGCGGCGGCGCCACCGGCUCGGGCCCGGGGACGCCAACACCGCGGGCCCGCUGCAGCGGCAGCCGUGCCGGCAGAGGAACGAGCACGCCGCUUCCUCCAGCGCCCUCCCAGCCCCGAGCGCGGCCCCAGCUCCCGCGGGAGCGGCCUGACCCCCCGGGGCCGCUACCGGCCGUCAGGCGCCGCUACCGGCCCGCCCCUCUCCGCGCUGAGGGGCUGCGGCGCCCCCCGGGCGGCACCGCUGACCGCGGAACGGACCGCCCGGCCCUCCCGCGGCACGGCCCCGCUUACCGCCGCCAUGGCUCCGCCGGCCCGGAGCGCGGCUGCGCCGCCACGUCCAACCGCCGCGCGGCGGGCGGGGCCAGCACGUCCCGCUUCCCGGCGUGCCCGGCGGGGCCAUGGCGGCGCGGGCCGGCGCGAUUUGCCUCUUCGACGUGGAUGGCACCCUCACCGCGCCGCGACAGGCCAGUCCCGGGGCGUGGGCUGUGCCCGACACUGCCCGCCCGGGGCGCCGGGCCCGGCUCUCCGCCGCUGGGCUCUCCCGGAGCGGUCGAAGAUCACCGCGGAGAUGGCCGCGUUCCUGCAGCGGCUGCGGCAGAAGGUGAAGGUUGGAGUCGUGGGUGGGUCCGAUUUUGAGAAGAUCAAGGAGCAGCUGGGCGAGGACGUGGUUGAAAAAUUUGACUACGUUUUUCCAGAAAAUGGUCUUGUAGCAUACAAAGAUGGGAAAUUCUUGAGCAAGCAGAACAUUCAGGGUCACCUGGGUGAGGACGUACUUCAAGAUCUAAUCAACUACUGCCUGAGUUAUAUUGCGAAGAUUAAACUGCCAAAGAAAAGGGGCACUUUUAUUGAGUUCCGAAACGGGAUGUUAAAUGUGUCCCCCAUUGGAAGAAGCUGCAGCCAGGAAGAACGAAUUGAGUUCUAUGAACUUGAUAAAGUGAGUUUCAACUCUUGAAACAUAUCCAGCUCUUCUGGAGGAGGCAGUUAUGGCCAGAAGGAACGUAUAAGAGAGAAAUUUGUAGCUGAUUUACGAAGAGAAUUUGCAGGAAAAGGCCUCACAUUUUCUAUAGGAGGCCAGAUAAGCUUCGAUGUGUUCCCAGACGGCUGGGAUAAGAGGUACUGCUUGGGGAUUGUUGCCAACGACGGGUACAAGACUAUUUAUUUCUUUGGAGAUAAGACUAUGCCAGGAGGGAAUGACUAUGAAAUUUUCACGGACUCCAGGACAGAAGGCCACAGCGUCACAUCACCCCAGGACACAAGAAGAAUCUGUGAAGAGCUAUUUUUUAAAUAAAAUACUUAGGGAAUUCAUACUUAAGAAACGGUUAAGACACCUUAAUAACUCAAACCAUCUUCCUUCAUUCUGUAUUGUUUUCCAAAAUUGACCAGUCAUUACAGAUGGGAAGCUGCUAUUGAAUAGAUGAACAUUUUAGAGUGGUUUUUUUUUUAAAUACUACCUUAUGCUAUAGAGACAUGAAUUGUAAGACAGUUGGACUUUUCUUGUUUAAAACUGGAAGAUGAGUAAAAGAGGUGGGUUUUAUUUCUUUCUGGGAGUGGGAAGGUAGAACUGAGCCAGCAGUCCUGACCUCACACAUGUUCCAGGAGGUGCAUUGGGUCCAGCACCCCUGGGAAGGCUGGACCAACAGCUGCUCGAGUGACCUCAGCACCGCUGUAAUGCCAAUGCACAGGACGGUUCAUGGUACCUACACUUUCGGCAUACUGUUUCUAAAUCUAAAAAAUAAUUGAAAAAAAUCUAUUAACUUGAGCAUAGUAGCAAAAUUACAUUUCUGAUUUUCCUGCUAAGGCAUUAAGGGUAGAUGAGAUUUUUAGUACCAAGAAAAAUGUUUUGAUUAAAAUUCAAGUUGAAGCACAAUAAUCAGUGUAACAGUUAAUAUUACUUUUCUUAUCUGGCAUUAGGAAAGUAAUCAUGUGUAUGAACAGCUUAUUUUAGCAAAAGAGCAUAAAAUCUCAUUUUAUCUUGAAAAAUUGCUAUUUCAAUUUGUCAUUUUGGCAAAUAAAAUACAUAAAGCAGA